CUGGGAUUCGAACAGGGACUUCAGUUGUACAUUUUAAUAUUCUGGAUAAAAGUUAAAUACAUUAGGAUACUACAGGUGGACAUUCAGAUGGUAAUCUCAGUCAUUGUAACACUAAACUCUGAUUGAAUUAGUCAAUUCAUCAGGACCUGGAUAUUCGCAUUGUGUGGUGCUACAUGGUGAAGGUUUGCAGACUGAAAUCUCAAAAUCAUGUGCAGAUUGUGAUUAUGUUAACCAGCAUUUGAAGAACCAAAGAUAGAGAAUCACUCGGCCAAAAUCCUGCAACACUCCCUCACAGCAUUGUUGGUCUAUCUGCACCAAAUGGACUGUGAAUGGUUCAAGACAGCAGCUCACUCCCAUCUUCUCAAGGGUAACUAGAGAUGGGGAAUAAAUGCUGGCUGAGCCAGUGAUGCCCAUAUCCUGGAAAUGGUUUCUAUCUCUAGUUGUUGAACCCCAGUUGAUGUUACUGCAGGAUGAUGAGGGACACUGAGUGCAUCCUCCAGGAGGCAGCACCAUCACAUUACCCCUGCCUACACCCACACAGUAACACAGCAACGUCACUGGAACA